rnacentral:lncRNA from 1 species
AUGGGAAAGGGGGUGAGGGCCGCAGCCACCCCAAUGCAGCUUGGCCUCCAGCUCUGGACAGGGAGACCAGGCCAAGCGGCCACAGUGGGCCCCAGCCACUCUGGGCAGCACAGUUUGCAAACAAGACCCACAGCUGCGGGGCAGUGCUGGGCACUUGUCCUCAGUGCCAGGGCUGCCUGCCACAUGUCUGCCUGCCGCCUGGCCACACAGAGCCCGGCCAAGGAUUGCAGUCCUGCAGCACUGGGACACACACCAGAUGACAGCCCUCCAGGGUGCCUGUGGUUCCAGGCCCAGGUGCCGCUGUGGCAUUGCUGGCAUGGCUUGGUCAGCCCCCGGAACUCCCCCCCAGCUGUCCCCUCCUGUUCCCCUCAUCUUACUUUAGACACAAAGCUCAUAGGGAGACUCUCCCCACCAGAAAACUGGACAAAAUUCCCAUUGAACAAACACCCCCGGGCCACUCCUUUCACCUGUACGAUCCAUUUAUCCUUGCCCAGCAUGCUGCCCCAUUUACAGCUGGAGUCACUGAGGCUCAGAGAGGUCCAGCAGCUUGCUCAGGGCCACACAGCAAGCCCACAGCAGAGUAGGAUUCAAGCUCAGGCCCCCCAGGCAGGUCUUGCCUCAGCUCCUGGUGUGUCUAUCUGGAACAUGGGGCAGGCGCCUACUGUUGCUGCCCUGCAAAUGUUUGCUGACGGCGGCGAUAAGGUGAGUGGGGUGUGCCCAGGCCCCUGUGCAGUGGAAGGAGGGUCUCCAAAGGCCCCAGAGUCAGGCCUGAGCGGCAGAGUGGUCAAACCCGGCUGUGGAGGAGUUUAUUUGGCCAGCACGAUGAUUAUGUUUUUAAAUUUCAUUUUCUUUGCUAGGGCGUGGCCUCCCGUUCCCCACCCCGCUCACCUCCUGGUCUGCACCUGGCCUCACCCUCCUGCACUGUCGCUGUGCCUGGUCCUCGGCUGGUGGAUAUGGGGACAGCGGCCAGGCGUGAGGGACAGGCUGUCACCUGUCACCUGCCCCUCCCCAAUCAGGUGA